GUGGGAAAGAGCAUCACCAGAGUUUCAGAAUUCGGCAAUCAGGCGGCCCACUUGGGCCAGUCACCCUGUAUCCCAUAGAAAGGGGAAGCAGAGGGCGGAGAGCCCUCUGUCUGAUCAUGAUUCCACCCUCGAAGGGUCCCUACCUCCAUUCUACCAGAAGAUUCUCGAGAUUCGCGAUCGAGAGGAUCUCCUGGAUCAAAGGUUCCAAGAGAUGAACUGGC
rnacentral:lncRNA from 1 species